UACGUAUGGUGCAAGCGUUAUCCGGAUUUACUGGGUGUAAAGGGAGCACAGGCGGCACGGCAAGCCUGAUGUGAAAGCCCGCGGCCCAACCGCGGGACUGCAUUGGGAACUACCGGGCUGGAGUGCCGGAGAGGUAGGCGGAAUUCCUAGUGUAGCGGUGAAAUGCGUAGAUAUUAGGAGGAACACCAGUGGCGAAGGCGGCCUACUGGACGGUGACUGACGCUGAGGCUCGAAAGCGUGGGGAGCAAACAGG
rnacentral:rRNA from 1 species